CGUGAAGGAAAAAGAAAUGUAAAACAUUCCACCGAAAAUCCUUCAUUCGUUUUAAGAUUUUUGUUAUUAUUGUUUUUAUUUGGUUUACUGUUUGGAAGCAUUACCUUUCUAUUUUCUUUUGGAAAGAAAAAAACUAAUUUGGGGUUUCGUUGUUUUAAUUUACGUUCGGGAUGUCAUUGUGGGUGCAGCACUUCCUCCCUCAGUCUGCUUCCGGCUGCUGUGGAGGAAGGUAAGCCGGCACUAGUGCUUGUAAACUUAGCGAUUUAAAGUUUCUUUUGAGACCGAAUGCAAAGAGGUUGCUUUGUUAUGAUGUUCAGGUGUUAUUUGUCUGUUUGUAACUAGUGAAGAACGAAUUGAUUUUGACGAGCCGUAAGCCAUAUGCAGCAGUAUGAGUGUUAGCUAGCCGACGUCACGUGUGUUAGCCUCGGUUGCGGUUUCGUUUUCAUGUUAAACUCAUACGGGGUUUCUUGUCACGGGCAGGAGUCUCAGGUCGGCUGCAUUUACACGGUUUCUCAUAUGCUGCAUCCUGUUAUUCUGUACAGUCUGCUUCCGGCUGCUGUGGAGGAAGGAGUCUCAGGUCGGCUGCAUUUACACGGUUUCUCAUAUGCUGCAUCCUGUUAUUCUGUACAGAAUAAAUACGCCAAGUGUUUGGGCUGAAUUUC